rnacentral:rRNA from 1 species
CCUACGGGAGGCAGCAGUAGGGAAUAUUGCUCAAUGGGGGAAACCCUGAAGCAGCAACGCCGCGUGGAGGAUGAAGGUUUUCGGAUUGUAAACUCCUUUUGUUAGAGAAGAUAAUGACGGUAUCUAACGAAUAAGCACCGGCUAACUCCGUGCCAGCAGCCGCGGUAAUACGGAGGGUGCAAGCGUUACUCGGAAUCACUGGGCGUAAAGAGCGCGUAGGCGGGAUAGCAAGUCAGAUGUGAAAUCCUAUGGCUUAACCAUAGAACUGCAUUUGAAACUGUUAUUCUAGAGUAUGGGAGAGGUAGGUGGAAUUCUUGGUGUAGGGGUAAAAUCCGUAGAGAUCAAGAGGAAUACUCAUUGCGAAGGCGACCUGCUAGAACAUAACUGACGCUGAGGCGCGAAAGCGUGGGGAGCGAACAGGAUUAGAUACCCCAGUAGUC